rnacentral:rRNA from 1 species
UACGGGGGGGGCAAGCGUUGUUCGGAAUUACUGGGCGUAAAGCGAGUGUAGGCGGUUCGAUAAGUCGGAUGUGAAAGCCCCGGGCUCAACCCGGGAAGUGCACUCGAUACUGUCGAGCUAGAGUAUCAGAGAGGUUGGUGGAAUUCUCGGUGUAGAGGUGAAAUUCGUAGAUAUCGAGAGGAACACCGGUGGCGAAGGCGGCCAACUGGACGAAUACUGACGCUGAGACUCGAAAGCGUGGGGAGCAAACAGG